UGUAGGCGGCGUUCUAAACUUUAAGAAUGUCGAUUUCGUUCAGGGGUCAACCUAUUUUAGAUAAGCGUUUUUAAUGACCGAAGUAGGUUGAUCGAACUAGUUUUAGAUGCGUAAUCGUAAUUAGAUUUGUUAUUAAUUCGUAGCGUUAUCGAAUUUGCGUAGACUCGAAGGAGCGACUAUCGAUAAGGCUCGAGGCAAACGGAUCGAGAUAUUGUCAAGCUUAUUUGAAGAAUUUGGAUAGCAAGUGGGAUAGCAUGAUAUUAUUUGGAAAGUCAAGCUUCCGAAGUUUUAAUUUUCGGAAGUCAUUUGCACAAGAAGUGAAAGAAGGUUUUCAUUCUAGCAGUCCGCAGUAGUCUAGAUGUUUUUGUCUAUGUAUUUGACUAGCGCAUUUUAACUCUGAUAUUUUUGUAAAAUGGGGUCACAUGUAUUUUGAUAUAUGAAAAAAAUGAUUUGAUUUGCGAAAAA